GGGGAUUUAGCUCAAUGGUAGAGCGCUUGCCUAGCAAGCGCAAUGCCCUGGGUUCAGUCCCCA
rnacentral:tRNA from 1 species